GACGAACGCUGGCGGCGUGCUUAACACAUGCAAGUCGAACGGAAAGGCCCUGCUUUUGUGGGGUGCUCGAGUGGCGAACGGGUGAGUAACACGUGAGUAACCUGUCCUUGACUUUGGGAUAACUUCAGGAAACUGGGGCUAAUACCGGAUAGGAGCUCCUGCUGCAUGGUGGGGGUUGGAAAGUUUCGGCGGUUGGGGAUGGACUCGCGGCUUAUCAGCUUGUUGGUGGGGUAGUGGCUUACCAAGGCUUUGACGGGUAGCCGGCCUGAGAGGGUGACCGGCCACAUUGGGACUGAGAUACGGCACAGACUCCUACGGGAGGCAGCAGUGGGGAAGAUUGCACGAUGGGCGGAAGCCUGAUGCAGCAACGCCGCGUGCGGGAUGACGGCCUUCGGGUUGUAAACCGCUUUCGCCUGUGACGAAGCGUGAGUGACGGUAAUGGGUAAAGAAGCACCGGCUAACUACGUG
rnacentral:rRNA from 1 species